rnacentral:rRNA from 1 species
UAGGGAAUCUUCCGCAAUGGGCGAAAGCCUGACGGAGCAACGCCGCGUGAGUGAUGAAGGUCUUCGGAUCGUAAAACUCUGUUAUUAGGGAAGAACAAAUGUGUAAGUAACUAUGCACGUCUUGACGGUCCCUAAUCAGAAAGCCACGGCUAACUACGUGCCAGCAGCCGCGGUAAUACGUAGGUGGCAAGCGUUAUCCGGAAUUAUUGGGCGUAAAGCGCGCGUAGGCGGUUUUUUAAGUCUGAUGUGAAAGCCCACGGCUCAACCGUGGAGGGUCAUUGGAAACUGGAAAACUUGAGUGCAGAAGAGGAAAGUGGAAUUCCAUGUGUAGCGGUGAAAUGCGCAGAGAUAUGGAGGAACACCAGUGGCGAAGGCGACUUUCUGGUCUGUAACUGACGCUGAUGUGCGAAAGCGUGGGGAUCAAACAGG